rnacentral:rRNA from 1 species
GAUGUGGGAAGGCCCAGACAGCCAGGAUGUUGGCUUAGAAGCAGCCAUCAUUUAAAGAAAGCGUAAUAGCUCACUGGUCGAGUCGGCCUGCGCGGAAGAUGUAACGGGGCUAAACCAUGCACCGAAGCUGCGGCAGCGACGUUUAUGCGUUGUUGGGUAGGGGAGCGUUCUGUAAGCCUGCGAAGGUGGCCUGUGAGGGUUGCUGGAGGUAUCAGAAGUGCGAAUGCUGACAUAAGUAACGAUAAAGCGGGUGAAAAGCCCGCUCGCCGGAAGACCAAGGGUUCCUGUCCAACGUUAAUCGGGGCAGGGUGAGUCGACCCCUAAGGCGAGGCCGAAAGGCGUAGUCGAUGGGAAACGGGUUAAUAUUCCCGUACUUGGUGUUACUGCGAAGGGGGGACGGAGAAGGCUAUGUUGGCCGGGCGACGGUUGUCCCGGUUUAAGCGUGUAGGCUGGUUUUCCAGGCAAAUCCGGAAAAUCAAGGCUGAGGCGUGACGACGAGGCACUACGGUGCUGAAGCAACAAAUGCCCUGCUUCCAGGAAAAGCCUCUAAGCAUCAGGUAACAUCAAAUCGUACCCCAAACCGACACAGGUGGUCAGGUAGAGAAUACCAAGGCGCUUGAGAGAACUCGGGUGAAGGAACUAGGCAAAAUGGUGCCGUAACUUCGGGAGAAGGCACGCUGACAUGUAGGUGAAGUGAUUUACUCAUGGAGCUGAAGUCAGUCGAAGAUACCAGCUGGCUGCAACUGUUUAUUAAAAACACAGCACUGUGCAAACACGAAAGUGGACGUAUACGGUGUGACGCCUGCCCGGUGCCGGAAGGUUAAUUGAUGGGGUCAGCGCAAGCGAAGCUCCUGAUCGAAGCCCCGGUAAACGGCGGCCGUAACUAUAACGGUCCUAAGGUAGCGAAAUUCCUUGUCGGGUAAGUUCCGACCUGCACGAAUGGCGUAAUGAUGGCCAGGCUGUCUCCACCCGAGACUCAGUGAAAUUGAACUCGCUGUGAAGAUGCAGUGUACCCGCGGCAAGACGGAAAGACCCCGUGAACCUUUACUAUAGCUUGACACUGAACAUUGAGCCUUGAUGUGUAGGAUAGGUGGGAGGCUUUGAAGUGUGGACGCCAGUCUGCAUGGAGCCGACCUUGAAAUACCACCCUUUAAUGUUUGAUGUUCUAACGUGGACCCGUUACCCGGGUUGCGGACAGUGUCUGGUGGGUAGUUUGACUGGGGCGGUCUCCUCCUAAAGAGUAACGGAGGAGCACGAAGGUUGGCUAAUCCUGGUCGGACAUCAGGAGGUUAGUGCAAUGGCAUAAGCCAGCUUGACUGCGAGCGUGACGGCGCGAGCAGGUGCGAAAGCAGGUCAUAGUGAUCCGGUGGUUCUGAAUGGAAGGGCCAUCGCUCAACGGAUAAAAGGUACUCCGGGGAUAACAGGCUGAUACCGCCCAAGAGUUCAUAUCGACGGCGGUGUUUGGCACCUCGAUGUCGGCUCAUCACAUCCUGGGGCUGAAGUAGGUCCCAAGGGUAUGGCUGUUCGCCAUUUAAAGUGGUACGCGAGCUGGGUUUAGAACGUCGUGAGACAGUUCGGUCCCUAUCUGCCGUGGGCGCUGGAGAACUGAGGGGGGCUGCUCCUAGUACGAGAGGACCGGAGUGGACGCAUCACUGGUGUUCGGGUUGUCAUGCCAAUGGCACUGCCCGGUAGCUAAAUGCGGAAGAGAUAAGUGCUGAAAGCAUCUAAGCACGAAACUUGCCCCGAGAUGAGUUCUCCCUGAGACUUUAGGUCUCCUGAAGGAACGUUGAAGACGACGACGUUGAUAGGCCGGGUGUGUAAGCGCAGCGAUGCGUUGAGCUAACCGGUACUAAUGAACCGUGAGGCUUAACCUU